AAGGCUUUAAGUUAAAUAAACUAAUAGCCUUCAAAGCUGUAAAUAAAGUAACAUUCUUUAAGCCUUA
rnacentral:tRNA from 1 species